UAAUUGAAACUAUUGAAACCUAACUUAAUUAAAAAUAUAAAACUGUAAUUAAAAUAUUAAUUCUUAAUUUAUAAUUAAUUUGUGUAAAAUUUAUAAAAUUAUGACUAUGACGCCUCCUCUCUAUUUGUACGCCUCAUGGCAAAGCAUGGCAUGUCCUAACCUAUACAUAAGAUGAAUGUAACUAACCUGUGUUUAUGCAAAUAAAUAUAUCUUGAAUCUUGAAUCUUGAACAACAUCGAUAAGAUUUUUUUAAAUUCUUUAUCCUCCACCAUACGGAAGGGAUAAUAACCCUUGGCGAUCAUAAGCAUCAGCUGCUCGUCCAGUUUCUCCGAUCUGCGCGGAGGCAUCGGCUUUGUGCUUUCAGCAAAGUCCCUUAUUGAGGGCUGUGUAGGAUUGGGAUGUGCAAAUAAUGUUGGAGGUGGAGCCGCCGCUGAUGAUGCUGGCAUCGAUGAUCCAACACUUUCCUCCUCAGGGAUACGACCUCCCACUAUCUCACUGGGCUGCUGUCGUUCAGGCACUAGAGCCACAGUUGGGUGUUUUGUCUUCAUGUGCCGUCCGAGGUUCCCAACAUUGCCAGUGGGAAUUGAAAGUGUAUUUGCACAGAACGCACAUUUUGCCUUUUUUGGUUCUAUCAAGGUGAAGUGGUUCCAAAGAGCACUCCAUUUUCUUUGGGAUGACAUGACCUAGCUUAGUACCUACUAAUUGCCUAACUAACUAACUACCUUAUAACUACUAUUUAUAUGAGUACUAAUUACCUAACUUAAUUAAGUACCAAAAAGUAUUUAUAAAAACAAAUACAAUAAACUACAAAUAAAAUAUUUAAAAUUAUCACUAAACUGAGAAAAUGACUGAAUAUCUAAGUAAUACGUAAUUAAACUAAGAAGGUAAUCACUGCUAACCACUCGAAAUCGAAAGUACGAAGAAAGUAAAAAGAUAAGUAACUACCUAGUUAAACAAACAAAUUGCAUUCAAGGUCAAAAUUCAUGGCACGCGCCAAAAUUCGUAAACAUCCAAUUUCAACCUAAUUACACUUGACUCAUUUUAAAUGCUUAGCCAUAGUGCACUUUAAUUUCUAAAUGCUAAAUAUCAAUUCAGAUUAUUUUUGUAAUAAAGACGUGCUCCCGCGCGUUUCGUUUCUGUUAUUUGGGAUCCGUAGGCAGUGGAGUGGUAGAAGUAAAAAUUAAGACGGGGCUCCCCAUGCCUAUUGCCUAGUAGAACCCAGUAGUAGCAUAAUGAAUUUGUGCCCCUUUUUUAUGAUCACUUACUAGAUAAUAGUAAAAAGUAUGUUUUAAGAUAAAUAAUAGGAAGAUACCUAAUUUCAAAAAAUGGCAUAAGUACCUAUAUAUAUUUUUUAGUUUUAUAAACUCUAUAAAACACAUAUUUUGUCCCGGCGAAAAAUACUCAAUUUUCAAUAUAGUAGGAAGUAUAAAAUAAUUUUAGUAGGAAGAAUCAUUUUAUCAUAUCGCAUAAAUUAUCUAUCUAUACUUACGACAGAACCAUUAUACCGACUCUCACUUGGCCGCUUGGAUCUCUUCAUCUCUGUCUUGUAAAGUCCUAUCGUCUCUUUCGCUCACGACGAUUCACGACGACGAAGACUCGACGAGUAUUGAGUGAGUGAGAUAAGUAUACAUGAUAGAGCAAGAGCGAGUCAAUAGGUAUUUGCCACGAAGUUCGUCGCGGUAUCUCGGUGAAACUCGGAUUUCCAUUCCCAUUUCCUAUGUGAGUAAGUGAGCAAGUGAUAACAAGAUGUAUAUUUGUUUCAAGUGAUUGAAAAGAAAGGUGAGCAAUAUAGGAUGAUCGUAUUCCAUUUUAUCUUUCCCUCGCGAGCUACACAAGUCUACUGUCAAAGCAAAUAAACGUUGAAAGUUGAAUUUCGUUUCGGUUCGGUUUAUUCAUUUCAUCAUUUUCAUCCGAAUAAUUUAACUUAUUCUUGUUGUGUGCGGUUUCAAAGUCAACAUGGACCAGCCGCUGGAAAAAGUGAAACGGCAGUAUCCGUCGGUGGCACAAAAAUUGCGGCUCUCACAAUUGCUGGAAGCAGACGAAGAAUUGCGGAACGGAAAAUUUACAGCUACUUUCUCAAAAAAGACAGCAUCUGAAAGAUGGGAGAAGAUAGCGUUGGAGCUAAACUCGCUCACUGGAGCAAAAAAGUCGGGCAAAGAAUGGCGCACAGUAAGUACAACAGAACUUAGUUUACCAGAUUUUAUCUUUAUGUGCAGGUUUAUUUUUCUUCACAAUGUUUCUCUUCACUAUCCUGUACUCUUUGAAACCAUUGCAUUUUGUUUUUUCAGACUUGGGGAGAUAUGAAAACAUACACAAAAAAAAAGUAUGCGGGACAAAGAAGGUCCAUGCAAAGGACUGGUGGAGGGCCCCCUGAUAUACAGCCGGAGGCGGUAGACCAAAUAAUAUUGUCUACAACAACAUUGAGUCAGCAUUGUCUGGACAUUCAGACAGCCAAGAGUCAAGUGCUAGACUCAUAAACUUUCACCAUGAACCAACAAAUGAUAGUGAAAAUGUCCAAAUUAUAGUGAUUGAACCACCUGCCACCGACCCACCUGCAAUAGAACCCGUACCAGGAACAUCUUCAGAAACUACCGAACCACCUGCCACCGACCCACCUGCAAUGGAACCCGUACCAGGAACAUCUUCAGAAAAUACUCAAAGAACUGGGAGACCAAGGCCUAAAAGAACAGUGGCUCAAAGAAGAUUAGAAAAUAGUUUGCAAGUGGCAGGAACAAUGAAUGAAACUCUAGAAA